rnacentral:lncRNA from 1 species
AGUAAAUAAGAGUUUUAAACAUAAUUAUAAAAGCGAUCUGGUUGUGUUUAAAAUCCCCUAAUUCUCUAUUGUUGAUGUUUAAUGCCUUGUAUGAAUGAUCUUAUCACUAUAUACCCACGGUGAAUUAACAACUGAUCCCUCACGAAAUAACUCAUUAACCACUACUCAUAGGUUUCUAUCCCUAGUCCGCUAGCAUAAGCUAGGUCUGGCGAUGCACAAAACAUUAGUUUCCCUAUGCCACUUCUCAGGGUCUCUUAUUCCUAUUCAACAAGUGUAAGUAAAAUAAUUACUAUAGGCCUAACACAUAGACUAAUGGUCAGUAUUUCCUAUGUGUCCACAAUCAAUUUAAAAGAGUAUCUCACAUAAAAAUCAUUAAUAACAAUAAGCAAUUGAAUGGAAUUAUAGAUCAAAAGGUUCAUACAAAGUCAAAUCAACAUAUUACCCAACAGUAUUGAAAAAGGUUCAUCCCACACAACCUAACCUAGAGGAGCUUAGCUACUCAUAAUUCAAAUUACAAUACCAUAAUUGAUAGAUGAAAGUAGCAUAUGAAUUCCCUUGAAGUAAUGGCCUCGAAUGGCUUCAAAUUCCCUAAAAAUCUCCUUUGAUCCUCUCCAAAUCGUGCUUUGCUCUCCAAUUUUUGUAACCCUUAUCAAAGUGUAAAAUUUCCCCUUAAAAGGAGCUCAUAAUGUAUCAGACGCGUCAAAAAAAGCCCAAAAAAGGGACCAUCGCGCGCGUGAUGACUUUAAUCAUGCGUGUGAUGUAGCUUUUAUGGCCCUAUCACGCGCGCGAUGGUGCAUGUGAUUUUUCCCGAAGUUGUACUUUUUUGCUCCUUUUUCACCAAACUUUUCACUAAGACCAUAAUCUUCACACUUAACUAUUUUUCCUCAUCCUUUGGUCUUUCUUAUUCAUUUUAGAUAAUCUUUCACUUGUUUUGAUCCAAUUCUUCAACUAAAUUCAUGCAAUGACAGACUGUCAUCACAACCUCAAACUUGAAUCGUUGCUUGUCCUCAAGUAACUCACCUACAAUUGCAUAUUUCAAUAGAAAAAAAUCAUCACAAUAAUAAUUAAACAUUAAAAUAUUAAAUAUUUCUUUUACCUGACCAUCAUUCUAGCUUCCAACUUCUAUCCGACGAAUUCGAAAAACAUCCUCAACAUUGAUGAGUACUCAACUUGUCUCUCAAAUCACUUUGACUCACUUAAUGGAUAUGGUUAUCUCUCAAUCAACAUGCCAAAUUAAUUAUGCUUAGCUUGAUCAUGUUCUAAUAUAGUUCAUCACAAAAAUCACAACGCACACAUUAUAUGUCUUUUUAGGUUGUAACUUGGCUUAUGUUUGGGUAUGAUAUUUUGGAAAAGUAGGUUUAAACCUUUAGAGUUAGGUGCCUAGUUCUCCUUCUAUCAUCAUACCUCUUUAUUCCUUUUGUUGGUACUAGAGAUUUUUGGUCCUUCUUCUACUUUCAUUAUUUUUCUUUUCUCCUUUUUUUUUGAAGAAGUGUCUUUUUCCGCUUCUGUUUUUCCUCAUAACUUUUGAAAAUUUGAAAUUUUGGCCAAUACUCUCUAGUACCCCAACCCCAAACUUAAAACUUAGUUCACUUCCAAGAGCAACCCCAAACUUAAUAUUUUUUAUACACUUGAGGAACUAUACUUCUACCUAACUCUAAAGAGAGGGUGAAAAAAAAGAUCUUUCAAGUCAUAUGGCUAAGAAUUUUAGGCUACGUCACAAAAAGAAAGGAUAAAUCUCAAAGUAAUUAGCAAUGGAUAUACUUAUUACUACAUGGUGGUUUAAAAAUUCUCAAAGUUAUAAAAAAAACUGCCUUAGUGUGUGUCAGUCAAACCAGAUGAACUUAAUCAGAAAUAGAUCAAACUAGAUAAAGUAAUAAUGCAUGGAUACACUCAUAAAGAAAGAAAAGUAAAUAAUGGAAUUUAUUUGGCUCAAAUCUUACUAGAUUUGGUAUCUGUAUGCUGAGUAUAAGUCCGUUGAUUCUUUUCUCAUCCUUUACCUUCAAGUUGCUAGUUUCUAUUGUGAUGAUCAAGUUUAUUUUGGAUCAUCUGUUCAAUGCUAAAGUGUUAAACUUGCAAAUCUGAAAAAAAAUACAACUACAAACUUGUUCAUUAAAGAAAUCAUGGAUCAUCAUGUAAGGGUUAUGCUCGAGUAGCUAAUUCCUCUUUUAGAAGGUCUUGAGUAAAAAUAAAGAAAAUUCCGCAAAACAAAAAAACGGGUUAAAACCGAUGGGUUGCCUCCCAUCCAGUGCUUCUUUAAGGUCCUAAGCCUGACCUUUCAAUUUUUGUGUUAGAGUGGCAUAUAUGACAAGAAAAACACAUCAUCCUUCUUCUUCCUUUUGUUUGGUAGGAAUUCCACCACUCUCAAGAAUUAAAGGUUUUUCUUCCAUAUUCUCUUCAGUUUGAUAGUAUCGAACAAGGCAUAAAUCUCAUUCAAUACUUCAUCUAUUUCUCCUCUUUUAUCAGUCUUGUUGCUAGGUGUAUGACUAUUCUUUUGUUGAAGAUCUUGUAGUUGGACAUCUACAUCUAAACUGAUUAUUGAAAUUGAAGCUUCAUCAAAAACCAUAUAAUUUUCAUAUUGCAUUCUUGUUCUUUUCCCACAUAUAAUUUUCACAUCCGCUUCUUCUAUUCUUGCUUCUAUUUCUUUAUUAGAUAAUAUGCACUUUCCUUCUUAUUUCUCUUUUUCAAUUCCUCAUUCAUUGACGACCUCACAUUCCUGUUUGAAUUCUCUUUCAUAUUCCUUAUCUCUGGGACUAUCUAAAAUUUUCCCAUCGAACUCCCCAUUAGAGCUCAGUUUUAAUGCUAAUUGGCUAGAUACUAGACCAAGUUUCAUAACUAAGUUCUCGAAGGAUGCUUCCACAUCCCUUUGCAAGGGUUCUUGCAACCUGUUGAUUUUCCGGAAAUUAGUUUGAUGACUUCUGAUUUUCUCAAAAUUAAGUUGAGUCAUCUUUAUAAACUGAGUCAAGGUUUCUUCAAGCUGAGAUGAUGAAUCCUCCUCCCACGAAUGAUCAGUGUAAGGAUAUGGCUCUGAAUAAUUUGUCGCAUUUUGUUGAAUUAAAGUUUUCGCUGCAAGUUUCUUUGAAUAAGCUUCAAACUUUGCCAAGGUAGCAUAAAUGUCCUCUUGCAUGAUUGUCUUGACCUUGCAUACAAAACAAAAAGAAGAAUACCUUAGUAACAAAAAUAAAACUAAAAAGAGAAAAAAUUAGAAAGAAAAAAAAACUAAUUACAAAGAAGUAUUUACAAUUGAAACCAAAAAUAAAAGUAAAAAAACAAAAUUAAACGUUGCACAAGCGCCGCCUUGUUAAAAUCAUCAAUAAUCCCCAAUAACGAUGCUAAAAAUUGAUGACUUCUCGGCAAGUGUGCCAAUAAUGUCGCAGUAAUAAAAAAGAUCGAAUCCACAUGGACUUCUAUUUAACAAGACAAUAUUAUGCAAUGCGUAGAAAAUACUAAAUUAUGGGGGGGUUUUGAGUUGCAAUGUGAAAAGUAAAUAAGAGUUUUAAACAUAAUUACGAAAACAGUCAGG